CGGGUGACGGCGGCCGCUCCGCAGCAUGGCCGGCCCCGGCCCGUGGCCGCCGGGCUCGGGAGGGUCGCGGUGGGCAGAGGAGGCUCUGGGUAUCGCGGCGGCAAGGAGGCGGCCUGCCCUCGCUGCCUUCUCCGCCUUCAGCUUCAUCCCGCCCAGACGGGAAGGGCCCCCGGAGCUCAGCUAUUUCAACCGGGCGCCCAAGGCAGAACGUGUUUUCACCUAUGACACCAUUUUUAGAAUACCAGAAGGUUACAACAAGUAUCUUUCCCGCUGUGACAGAAAACAUGCAAAAGGUCAUGGUCUCAACAUUAAUGAGGAGUGCAGCCUAUAUGGUAAGAAAGGAAUUGGAAGGAGGACGUCAUUGUGCGCAGCCUGGAGGUUUAGAAGAGAGCAUUAGCCCAUGAAGACAUCCAAAUUAGCUCUUGUUCUUUAGCAUCCUGAAGAUUUCCAGGAAAUGGCAAGACCUGUUCCUGUGUUGUCAUCUUCAGAGUAUGGGAAACGUGUAAACAAGCCCCUAGAGCAGCCAAGCAAAGAACAUGCAAGGGCUAAUCAC